rnacentral:rRNA from 1 species
UACGUAGGGGGCAAGCGUUAUCCGGAUUUACUGGGUGUAAAGGGAGCGUAGACGGCGAGGCAAGUCUGAAGUGAAAGGCGGGGGCCCAACCCCCGGACUGCUUUGGAAACUGUCUUGCUUGAGUGCGGGAGGGGCAAGCGGAAUUCAUAGUGUAGCGGUGAAAUGCGUAGAUAUUAGGAGGAACACCGGUGGCGAAGGCGGCUUGCUGGACCGUAACUGACGUUGAGGCUCGAAGGCAUGGGGAGCGAAC